rnacentral:antisense_RNA from 1 species
CUUCAACGACCCGAGCCAGAGCGGUCGCUGCGGAUCCCGGCCCUGGCCGUACGUGGCCAGCAGCGCCUGCGCCUC